rnacentral:rRNA from 1 species
GACGUAGGGCGCGAGCGUUGUCCGGAUUUAUUGGGCGUAAAGAGCUCGUAGGCGGCUCGUUGCGUCAACCGUGAAAACCCGGGGCUUAACUUCGGGCUUGCGGUUGAUACGGGCGGGCUGGAGUUCGGUAGGGGAGACUGGAAUUCCUGGUGUAGCGGUGAAAUGCGCAGAUAUCAGGAGGAACACCAGUGGCGAAGGCGGUUAGCUGGCCUGUAACUGACACUGAGGCGCGAAGGCUAGGGGAGCGAACAGG